rnacentral:rRNA from 1 species
ACGAACGCUGGCGGCAUGCUUCAUACAUGCAAGUCGAACGUGAAGCCGACUUCGGUUGGUGGAAAGUGGCGGACGGGUGAGUAAUAUGUAGGAAAUCUGCCCUUGAGAGGGGGACAACAGAGGGAAACUUCUGCUAAUACCCCAUAUGAGCGUACCUGAAAUGGUAUUCUUGAAAACUCCGGUGCUCAAGGAUGAGCCUGCAUCUGAUUAGCUAGUUGGCGGUGUAAUGGACCACCAAGGCGACGAUCAGUAGCUGGUUUGAGAGGAUGAUCAGCCACAAUGGGACUGAGACACGGCCCAUACUCCUACGGGAGGCAGCAGUAGGGAAUUUUGCGCAAUGGGCGAAAGCCUGACGCAGCAAUGCCGCGUGAACGUAGAAGCCCUUCGGGGUGUAAAGUUCUGUCAGUGGGGACGAAUUUUGACGGUACCCACAGAGGAAGCACCGGCUAACUCCGUGCCAGCCGCCGC